GCAAUGCCGCGUGCAGGAAGAAGGCCUUCGGGUUGUAAACUGCUUUUGUACGGAACGAAACGGCUCUUUCUAAUAAAGAGGGCUAAUGACGGUACCGUAAGAAUAAGCACCGGCUAACUACGUGCCAGCAGCCGCGGUAAUACGUAGGGUGCGAGCGUUAAUCGGAAUUACUGGGCGUAAAGCGUGCGCAGGCGGUUAUAUCAGACAGUUGUGAAAUCCCCGGGCUCAACCUGGGAAUUGCAUCUGUGACUGUAUAGCUAGAGUACGGUAGAGGGGGAUGGAAUUCCGCGUGUAGCAAUGAAAUGCGUAGAUAUGCGGAGGAACACCGAUGGCGAAGGCAAUCCCCUGGACCUGUACUGACGCUCAUGCACGAAAGCGUGGGGAGCAAACAGGAUUAGAUACCCUGGUAGUCCACGCCCUAAACGAUGUCAACUGGUUGUUGGGUGCAUUAAUACUCAGUAACGAAGCUAACGCGUGAAGUUGACCGCCUGGGGAGUACGGCCGCAAGGUUGAAACUCAGAGGAAUUGACGGGGACCCGCACAAGCGGUGGAUGAUGUGGUUUAAUUCGAUGCAACGCGAAAAACCUUACCUACCUUUGACAUGUACGGAAUUCGCCAGAGAUGGCU
rnacentral:rRNA from 1 species